UGUGAUUUACGGAUAUGUACUUUAAUGCAAGUGCAGAAAUGUCACUUAUGUGUACUCUCUCUGGUUUCUCUCUCUCUCUCAGUGGCGAUUUUCUCUUUAAAGCACGAUUUUCGUAUAGAAUAGAAGCACUUUAAAUUAUGUAUUAGUUGUCUUCUAGCAUAUUCUAGAAGAUGUUUUGCACAUAGUCUUCAUCACAGUUUGUCUCAAAUUUUCGAGGUUUUUUUUUUUUUUUUUUUUAGGCUGUUUCCAUGGCAACGGCGGCCAUUUUGAAAAUUUCAAAGACAGAUGACAAUACAAUAGCAUUUAAACGGGAAUGAGCUUAAAAUUUGUACGAAAAUGUUACUUUGACGUUUUUUACCAUAUGGGUCCAAUGUGCACUUUCAGCGUUAUCUCCAUGGUAACAGCAGCUAUCUUAAAAAUUCCAACGGCAAUGAAUUCUACAGUUUAUACUACUGUACAUGUUUUAUAGUUACGGGUUUUUUUGGCCGUAUCUGUAGCGGUUUAUUUUCUAUGAAUUAAUUAAGGAUUUAUUUUCGUUUUUUUCACGUUUGGACUGUUUCCAUGACAACGGUAGCCAUUUUAAAAGUUCUUAAGAUGGAUGUCACGCCUUCUAACGAUGAGUUAUUAGUUCUGAAAGUUUCAUUUAAUUUGGACCAUUUUUCGGUUUUUUACAUUUUUGCCGUUUCCAUGGUAACGGCGGCCAUCUUGAAAAUUCCAUGCCCAAGGUGCAACUUUGCACAUGGGGAUUGUCAUUAUGGUGCAGUUUUAUAAAUGUAUGUCAAGGCAUCUCCGAGAAAUCGGCUGGACAAAAAGUGUGGAAGAAAAAAUUCGUAGAAUAACAAUAUAUCCCCCCUUUUUCAAAGGGGUGACAUAAAAAAAAGAAACAUAGAAUAACAAUA
rnacentral:lncRNA from 1 species